CUAAUACCGGAUAUUAUGAGAUUCUCGCAUGGGAAACUUAUGAAAGCUAUAUGCGCCAAGAGAGAGCCUUGCGUUCCAUUAGCUAGUUGGUGGGGUAACGGCCCACCAAGGCGACGAUGGAUAGCCGGCCUGAGAGGGUGAACGGCCACAAGGGGACUGAGACACGGCCCUUACUCCUACGGGAGGCAGCAGUGGGGAAUAUUGGACAAUGGGCCACAAGCCUGAUCCAGCAAUUCUGUGUGCACGAUGAAGGUCUUCGGAUUGUAAAGUGCUUUCAGUUGGGAAGAAGAAAGUGACGGUACCAACAGAAGAAGCGACGGCUAAAUACGUGCCAGCAGCCGCGGUAAUACGUAUGUCGCAAGCGUUAUCCGGAUUUAUUGGGCGUAAAGCGCGUCUAGGCGGAAAAAUAAGUCUGAUGUUAAAAUGCGGGGCUCAGCUCCGUAUUGCGUUGGAAACUGUUUUUCUAGAGUACUGGAGAGGUGGGCGGAACUACAAGUGUAGAGGUGAAAUUCGUAGAUAUUUGUAGGAAUGCCGAUGGAGAAGUCAGCUCACUGGACAGAUACUGACGC
rnacentral:rRNA from 1 species